rnacentral:rRNA from 1 species
CAUUGUCGCUUCCGGUCCCUUGAACUGUGUAGGGGACGAAGACGAGGUCGGCACGCCGAGCUCGCCUCCUCCCCGCCCCGAGAUCUCGACGACGUGCGGACGACUGGGCCUUGUAGCGGUGCAUCGCGUGGCUCUGCUCCAAGUUCGGACGCCGUUAGGGUUGAGGGUUAUAUAUUGAAGGCCCGUGAUCGAAUGCAUGUUCUUGCUGGGCUGGGAGAAGGCUCAGGUUUGUUCUCGAUUGCGAUUGGUGCGCUUCCACGACGUUUAUCGUCGGGCGAGUGGUCCUGUCUGGUUGCGAUCGAGAGGAGAUUUGAGCCUUUGGACCCAACYGAGCCGCAUGCUUCGGUUGCGCGCGCGGCGCUGUGCCAGGGAUCCGUCGUUUCGACGGCGGCAAGUCGGGACUGCCGCAACCCCCCGUCGCCAUUUUUGGGUGAAUACCACGUCGUUGGGAGUGUUCUUCGUCAACGGAUGGGCGCACUUGCGUGUAUUCGCGGGGCAGGACUCCUCGUCUUGUUGGCAUUGCUCACUCUUUGCGACGUUCACCUUUGCGAGGCGACGGGGCGGGGACACACCAAACCGUUCUUCGGCGCACCGCCUCUCGGCUACGGGGCGCCGGAAGAUGGCGUGUGUCAACACCCAACACAUGGGUGCAACAUGCACCCUUUAAAUCCAAACAAUUAUGUGCGAGYCAAGCGCCUUGCGCGUUUGGGUCGCCACAAAGUGGAAAAUGAAUUUAAAAAAAGCACGACUCUCGGCAACGGAUAUCUCGGCUCUCGCCACGAUGAAGAAUGUAGCGAAAUGCGAUACUUAGUGUGAAUUGCAGAAUCCCGUGAAUCAUCGAGUCUUUGAACGCAAGUUGCGCCCGAGGCCUCGGCCAAGGGCACGUCUGCUUGGGCGUCGCACUCCAAAAUUGCCCUCUCACACGGAGGAGCGCAGAUGGCCGUCCGUGCCCGCCAGCGAUGCGGUCGGCUGAAAUGAGCGCGAGGACCAUCGACCCGCAGCGACGAGCGGUGGCCUGUCCAGGUCGGCGUUGGUUUGCGCGGCUCGAGCGAGGUCCAGCGUGGAACUUUAAAUCGGCCACAACGGCUCGCCUCAGUGCGGGCAUGUUGGGUUGCUGUCGCGUCC